rnacentral:ncRNA from 2 species
AUCAUACGCCAGGGGCGCCUUCGGGCUGAGAUGUACCCUUCGAACCUGAACCGGGUCAUGCCGGCGGAGGAAGGCGAGCGCCACUGGCG